UUAAUAUUAUUUAGUUAACAGUUAUCACUGAACUUUAGUAGUAGAUAGUAAAGGGUGUUUUAGUAUUACUUUUGUGUGUGUGUGUUUUAUAGUAGACAAGUAUUUAUCAAAGAGCAUUUUAAUAUUAUUUAGUUAAAGGAUAGAUGUUUAUCAAUGAGUGUUUUAGUGUUAUUUAUUGUCGAUACGGAACAACAUUAAGCUAUGUCGCUUUUGGGCCAUGCCUAUAUGUAGGUGAGACGCCUUCUGGCCUAAGCUACGACUAUGUCGCUUUUGGGCCAUGCCUAUAUGUAGGUGAGACGCCUUCUGGCCUAAGCUACGACUAUGUCGCUUUUGGGCCAUGCCUAUAUGUAGGUGAGACGCCUUGUGGCCUUAGAUACGGUACAAUAACAAACAUAUUUAACUAUUUUAUAUACUCGAUUAUGGUAAUGUGAUUGUGUGCGUUUUCCAGUGAUGCUCAAGUAUAUUUUAUUUUUAUAGAUUGCAAAACACGUAAUAUAUAUUUCAAGGAGUGAGAAGUAUUGUGCAGAUCAGGCAUUCAAGGUAAGUUUGGCUUCUUUUAUUUAUGUUGAUUGAAUAUUAAAUUGAUGUUAACACCAUUCAUAUAUUAUGCUAUAUAAACAAAAAAAAAA